ensembl:lncRNA
GGAAGAGGAACAAACUUUUGGUGAACUGUGGACUGUCUUUGCCAUACCUUGGCUGUGACAGCGCAGGAGUGCGGAGACUGAGAUGGCACAGGAGAGGCCGAGAAGAGCUACCCCACAUCCAAGGUCAGGGGUGGCAGCCGACAGGAGCUACCCCAUGUCCAAGAGAAAAUAGCAGCCACCCAUUUCUGCAUCUGGGCUGUAUCCACACACCUGGUUCUCUGAAGUUAAAGUUUGUCUGUCACCGGGACUUUGCUCCCAGCUCUCUGUUACCCAGGGAAAGCAUGGAAAUGGUGUCACCACAGAGAAGGCAAUGGCACCUCACUCUAGUACUCUUGCCUGGAAAAUCCCAUGGACGGAGGAGCCUGGUGGGCUGCAGUCCAUGGGGUCGCUAAGAGUUGGACACGACUGAGCGACUUCACUUUGACUUUUCACUUUAAUGCAUUGGAGAAGGAAAUGGCAGCCCACUGCAGCG